rnacentral:rRNA from 1 species
GGACUACCGGGGUAUCUAAUCCUGUUUGCUCCCCAUGCUUUCGUGCCUCAGCGUCAGUAUGAGUCCAGGAAGCCGCCUUCGCCACUGAUGUUCUUUCCGAUAUCUACGCAUUUCACCGCUACACCGGAAAUUCCACUUCCCUCUACUCUACUCCAGCUCUCCAGUCUUAAAUGCAAUUCCCAGGUUAAGCCCGGGGAUUUCACAUCUAACUUAAAAAACCGCCUACGCACCCUUUACGCCCAGUAAUUCCGAUUAACGCUCGCACCCUCUGUAUUACCGCGGCUGCUGGCAC